GACGAACGCUGGCGGCGUGCUUAACACAUGCAAGUCGAGCGGAAAGGCCCUUUCGGGGGUACUCGAGCGGCGAACGGGUGAGUAACACGUGAGUAAUCUGCCCUUGGCUUCGGGAUAGCCACCGGAAACGGUGAUUAAUACCGGAUAUGACAAUGUCACGCAUGUGGUGUUGUGGAAAGUUUUUCGGCCAGGGAUGUGCUCGCGGCCUAUCAGCUUGAUGGUGAGGUAAUGGCUCACCAUGGCUU
rnacentral:rRNA from 1 species